GACGAACGCUGGCGGCGUGCUUAACACAUGCAAGUCGAACGGUGAAGCGCCUUCCUUUUUGGUGGGUGUGGAUGAGUGGCGAAUGGGUGAGUAACACGUGAGUAACCUGCCCCCUUCUUCUGGAUAACCGCAUGAAAGUGUGGCUAAUACGGGAUAUUCUGGGUCUGUCGCAUGAUGGGUCUGGGAAAGAUAUUGUUUCGGUGGGGGAUGGGCUCGCGGCCUAUCAGCUUGUUGGUGGGGUGAUGGCCUACCAAGGCGGUGACGGGUAGCCGGCCUGAGAGGGUGGACGGUCACACUGGGAAGGAGACACGGCCCAGACUCCUACGGGAGGCAGCAGUGGGGAAUAUUGCACAAUGGGCGCAAGCCUGAUGCAGCGACGCCGCGGGAGGGAUGGAGGCCUGCGGGUUGUGAACCUCUUUCGCCAGUGAAGCAGGCCUGCCUCGUUUGUGGGUGGGUUGACGGUAGCUGGAUAAGAAGCGCCGGCUAACUACGUG
rnacentral:rRNA from 1 species